AAGAAAGUAAGAAAGGGCGUAUGGUGGAUGCCUAGGCUCACAGAGGCGAUGAAGGACGUGAUAAGCUGCGAUAAGCUUCGGGUAGGUGCAAAUAACCUUUGAUCCGAAGAUUUCCGAAUGGGACAACCCGGCCGUCUGAAGGACGGUCACUCACGCUAAGCGUGAGAGCUAACGCAGGGAACUGAAACAUCUUAGUACCUGCAGGAAGAGAAAAUAAAUAAUGAUUCCCUUAGUAGUGGCGAGCGAACGGGGAACAGCCCAAACCGUGACUGUGGCAACGCAGCCGCGGGGUAGUAGGACCGCGACAUUGUAUGCAUGCAGUGAGCAGAAUCUUCUGGAAAGAAGAACCGCAGAUGGUGAAAGUCCAGUAUGCGAAGCUAAUUGCAACAUAGCGGUAUCCUGAGUAACGCGGAACACGAGGAAUUCUGCGCGAAUCCGCCGGGACCAUCCGGUAAGGCUAAAUACUCCUGUGAGACCGAUAGUGAACCAGUACCGUGAGGGAAAGGUGAAAAGCACUUCGAUAAGAAGAGUGAAAUAGUUCCUGAAACCAUACGCCUACAAGCGGUCGGAGCUGCUUUAUGCAGUGACGGCGUGCCUUUUGCAUAAUGAACCUACGAGUUACCAUCACCAGCAAGGUUAAGGGCCAUUAGUCCCCAAGCCGCAGUGAAAGCGAGCCUGAAUAGGGCGUUUGUCUUUUAGAGACAAAGCGCACAUUAGUGCGUUAUAGUUGGUGGGGGUAGACGCGAAACCAAGUGAUCUACACUUGACCAGGUUGAAGUUCCGGUAACACGGAAUGGAGGACCGCACCAAUAAGCGUUGAAAAGCUUCUGGAUGAGUUGAGUGUAGGAGUGAAAGGCCAAUCAAACUUGGAGAUAGCUCGUACUCCCCGAAAGGCAUUUAGGUGCCGCGUGUGGUGAUCUCCGUGAGAGGUAGAGCGACCGAUAGGUCAAGAGGGCUUCACCGCCUAUCGAGACCUGACGAACUCCGAAUGCUUACGGAUUGCAGCCAUGCAGUAAGGGGGCGGGUGCUAAGGUCCGUCCCCGAGAGGAGAAGAAUCCAGACCGCCGUCUAAGGCCCCGAAAUUCUGUCUGAGUUAGUCUAACGAAGUCUGGUCCCUAUGACAGCUAGGAUGUUGGCUUGGAAGCAGCCAUUCAUUCAAAGAGUGCGUAACAGCUCACUAGUCGAGGGUCCGGGCAUGGAUAAUAAUCGGGUAUAAGGCAGAUGCCGAAGGCGCGGGAUAGUAAUUAUAAAAGUAUCGGUAGGGGAGCAUACCAUGUGCGUCGAAUGGUGAAGAUAACUGAUCCUGGAGCGCAUGGUAAAGCAAAUGUAGGUAUAAGUAACGAUAAGAGGGGUGAGAUUCCCCUCCGCCAUAAGUCUAAGGUUUCCCGGGCAAUGCCAAUCAGCCCGGGGUAAGUCGGGUCCUAAGUCUCAGCCGAA
rnacentral:ncRNA from 1 species